GAUGAACGCUGGCGGCGUGCCUAAUACAUGCAAGUCGAGCGAACGGACGAGAAGCUUGCUUCUCUGACGUUAGCGGCGGACGGGUGAGUAACACGUGGAUAACCUACCUAUAAGACUGGGAUAACUUCGGGAAACCGGAGCUAAUACCGGAUAAUAUUUUGAACCGCAUGGUUCAACAGUGAAAGACGGUCUUGCUGUCACUUAUAGAUGGAUCCGCGUUGCAUUAGCUAGUUGGUAAGGUAACGGCUUACCAAGGCAACGAUGCGUAGCCGACCUGAGAGGGUGAUCGGCCACACUGGAACUGAGACACGGUCCAGACUCCUACGGGAGGCAGCAGUAGGGAAUCUUCCGCAAUGGGCGAAAGCCUGACGGAGCAACGCCGCGUGAGUGAAGAAGGUCUUCGGAUCGUAAAACUCUGUUAUUAGGGAAGAACAUAUGUGUAAGUAACUGUGCACAUCUUGACGGUACCUAAUCAGAAAGCCACGGCUAACUACGUG
rnacentral:rRNA from 1 species